ACUCCUACGGGAGGCAGCAGUGGGAAUAUUGGACAAUGGGGAAACCCGUGAUCCAGCCAUGCCGCGUGUGUGAAGAAGGCCUUCGGGUUGUAAAGCACUUUCAGUGGGGAGGAAAGGUUGUUGGUUAAUACCUAACAGCUGUGACGUUACCCACAGAAGAAGCACCGGCUAACUCCGUGCCAGCAGCCGCGGUAAUACGGAGGGUGCAAGCGUUAAUCGGAUUUACUGGGCGUAAAGCGUGCGUAGGCGGCCAUUUAAGUCAAAUGUGAAAUCCCCGCAGCUUAAUACUUGGGAAUUGCAUUCGAUACUGGAUGGCUAGAGUAUGGGAGAGGAUGGUAGAAUUUCAGGUGUAGCGGUGAAAUGCGUAGAGAUCUGAAGGAAUACCGGUGGCGAAGGCGG
rnacentral:rRNA from 1 species